rnacentral:rRNA from 1 species
GGGUUGUGAGGUUAAGCGACUAAGCGUACACGGUGGAUGCCCUGGCAGUCAGAGGCGAUGAAGGACGUGCUAAUCUGCGAUAAGCGUCGGUAAGGUGAUAUGAACCGUUAUAACCGGCGAUUUCCGAAUGGGGAAACCCAGUGUGAUUCGUCACACUAUCAUUAACUGAAUCCAUAGGUUAAUGAGGCGAACCGGGGGAACUGAAACAUCUAAGUACCCCGAGGAAAAGAAAUCAACCGAGAUUCCCCCAGUAGCGGCGAGCGAACGGGGAGCAGCCCAGAGCCUGAAUCAGUGUGUGUGUUAGUGGAAGCGUCUGGAAAGGCGCGCGAUACAGGGUGACAGCCCCGUACACAAAAAUGCACAUACUGUGAGCUCGAUGAGUAGGGCGGGACACGUGGUAUCCUGUCUGAAUAUGGGGGGACCAUCCUCCAAGGCUAAAUACUCCUGACUGACCGAUAGUGAACCAGUACCGUGAGGGAAAGGCGAAAAGAACCCCGGCGAGGGGAGUGAAAAAGAACCUGAAACCGUGUACGUACAAGCAGUGGGAGCACGCUUAGGCGUGUGACUGCGUACCUUUUGUAUAAUGGGUCAGCGACUUAUAUUCUGUAGCAAGGUUAACCGAAUAGGGGAGCCGAAGGGAAACCGAGUCUUAACUGGGCGUUAAGUUGCAGGGUAUAGACCCGAAACCCGGUGAUCUAGCCAUGGGCAGGUUGAAGGUUGGGUAACACUAACUGGAGGACCGAACCGACUAAUGUUGAAAAAUUAGCGGAUGACUUGUGGCUGGGGGUGAAAGGCCAAUCAAACCGGGAGAUAGCUGGUUCUCCCCGAAAGCUAUUUAGGUAGCGCCUCGUGAAUUCAUCUCCGGGGGUAGAGCACUGUUUCGGCAAGGGGGUCAUCCCGACUUACCAACCCGAUGCAAACUGCGAAUACCGGAGAAUGUUAUCACGGGAGACACACGGCGGGUGCUAACGUCCGUCGUGAAGAGGGAAACAACCCAGACCGCCAGCUAAGGUCCCAAAGUCAUGGUUAAGUGGGAAACGAUGUGGGAAGGCCCAGACAGCCAGGAUGUUGGCUUAGAAGCAGCCAUCAUUUAAAGAAAGCGUAAUAGCUCACUGGUCGAGUCGGCCUGCGCGGAAGAUGUAACGGGGCUAAACCAUGCACCGAAGCUGCGGCAGCGACACUGUGUGUUGUUGGGUAGGGGAGCGUUCUGUAAGCCUGCGAAGGUGUGCUGUGAGGCAUGCUGGAGGUAUCAGAAGUGCGAAUGCUGACAUAAGUAACGAUAAAGCGGGUGAAAAGCCCGCUCGCCGGAAGACCAAGGGUUCCUGUCCAACGUUAAUCGGGGCAGGGUGAGUCGACCCCUAAGGCGAGGCCGAAAGGCGUAGUCGAUGGGAAACAGGUUAAUAUUCCUGUACUUGGUGUUACUGCGAAGGGGGGACGGAGAAGGCUAUGUUGGCCGGGCGACGGUUGUCCCGGUUUAAGCGUGUAGGCUGGUUUUCCAGGCAAAUCCGGAAAAUCAAGGCUGAGGCGUGAUGACGAGGCACUACGGUGCUGAAGCAACAAAUGCCCUGCUUCCAGGAAAAGCCUCUAAGCAUCAGGUAACAUCAAAUCGUACCCCAAACCGACACAGGUGGUCAGGUAGAGAAUACCAAGGCGCUUGAGAGAACUCGGGUGAAGGAACUAGGCAAAAUGGUGCCGUAACUUCGGGAGAAGGCACGCUGAUAUGUAGGUGAAGUCCCUCGCGGAUGGAGCUGAAAUCAGUCGAAGAUACCAGCUGGCUGCAACUGUUUAUUAAAAACACAGCACUGUGCAAACACGAAAGUGGACGUAUACGGUGUGACGCCUGCCCGGUGCCGGAAGGUUAAUUGAUGGGGUCAGCGCAAGCGAAGCUCUUGAUCGAAGCCCCGGUAAACGGCGGCCGUAACUAUAACGGUCCUAAGGUAGCGAAAUUCCUUGUCGGGUAAGUUCCGACCUGCACGAAUGGCGUAAUGAUGGCCAGGCUGUCUCCACCCGAGACUCAGUGAAAUUGAACUCGCUGUGAAGAUGCAGUGUACCCGCGGCAAGACGGAAAGACCCCGUGAACCUUUACUAUAGCUUGACACUGAACAUUGAGCCUUGAUGUGUAGGAUAGGUGGGAGGCUUUGAAGUGUGGACGCCAGUCUGCAUGGAGCCG